rnacentral:misc_RNA from 1 species
CUGCGUACUAAAGAAGAAAGCGAGGAAUCGAGUGGAAACUCCCUGCUAAAUGGCGUUGGUGAUGCUUGUGUUAGGAUUUCCCCAGCCAUGGUGCAAGUUCAAGGUGCUCUUCCAGUCUUCCCUUUGCCAUUGCCCAUUUUGAUGUUGAUGAAAAAUGCGACCAAGAAACUGAUAAAAAAUGCGACCGAGAAUGUGAGAAAGAAUUGGACGCCAAAACCCAUUUCUUCUAUCAAAGACUGCUUCUUUCGUCGCAAGUAAGAAUUUGG